rnacentral:rRNA from 1 species
UACGGAGGGUGCAAGCGUUAUCCGGAUUCACUGGGUUUAAAGGGUGCGUAGGUGGGCAGUUAAGUCAGUGGUGAAAUCCUGUAGCUUAACUACAGAACUGCCAUUGAUACUAUUUGUCUUGAAUACCCUGGAGGUGAGCGGAAUAUGUCAUGUAGCGGUGAAAUGCUUAGAUAUGACAUAGAACAUCUAUUGCGAAGGCAGCUCACUACGGGAAUAUUGACGCUGAGGCACGAAAGCGUGGGGAUCAAACAGG